UUGAAAUGAUUUGUAAUGAAAAAUGCAUUGGUAAUGAAUUGUAUGAAAUGUUGAAUUAUUUAAUUUGAAUGUGUAAAGAUUUAUAUGAAAUUGAUUGAAUGUGGGGGGAUUUUGUUUUAGUUGCAAAAGAAAUAAAUUAAGCCAACAUCAAAGCAUUGAUUAUCAUGUUAAAACAUAUUAUACAUUAAUAAGUUGAAGUGAGAAGCAAAGACAAUGUUAGUUAUGUCUAAAAAGUUAGUAAUGAA
rnacentral:lncRNA from 1 species